GGCGCCUUGACCGAGUGGCGAGGUAGCGGAUUGCAAAUCCGCGCACACCGGUUCGAUUCCGGUAGGCGCCUC
rnacentral:tRNA from 1 species